AUUGAACGCUGGCGACAUGCCUUACACAUGCAAGUCGAACGUGAAAGGGGGCAACCCCGAGUAGAGUGGCGAACGGGUGAGUAAUGCAUCGGAACGUGCCCAGUAGUGGGGGACAACCUCGAGAAAUCGAGGCUAAUACCGCAUACGACCUACGGGUGAAAGCGGGGGACCGCGAGGCCUCGCGCUAUUGGAGCGGCCGAUGUCCGAUUAGCUUGUUGGUGGGGUAACGGCCUACCAAGGCGACGAUCGGUAGCUGGUCUGAGAGGACGACCAGCCACACUGGGACUGAGACACGGCCCAGACUCCUACGGGAGGCAGCAGUGGGGAAUUUUGGACAAUGGGGGCAACCCUGAUCCAGCCAUGCCGCGUGCGGGAAGAAGGCCUUCGGGUUGUAAACCGCUUUCGGCCGGAACGAAAUCGCCGGGGAUAACACCCCCGGUGGAUGACGGUACCGGAAGAAGAAGCACCGGCUAACUACGUGCCAGCCGCCGCCGUAA
rnacentral:rRNA from 1 species